AUAAAAUUUUGAAUCAUCACCAAAAAGUAUACAGAUCUUAAGAUUAAUAUAACUAAGAAGUGUGUAAAAUUUUAAGCAAUAAUCAUAAAUCGUUUUUGAGAUACGGCGGGACAUGUGAAAAA